rnacentral:rRNA from 1 species
AAGCCUGAUGCAGCGACGCCGCGUGAGGGAUGACGGCCUUCGGGUUGUAAACCUCUUUCAGCAGGGAAGAAGGCCUUCGGGUGGACGGUACCUGCAGAAGAAGCGCCGGCUAACUACGUGCCAGCAGCCGCGGUAAUACGUAGGGCGCAAGCGUUGUCCGGAAUUAUUGGGCGUAAAGAGCUCGUAGGCGGUCUGUCGCGUCUGGUGUGAAAACCCGAGGCUCAACCUCGGGCUUGCAUCGGGUACGGGCAGACUAGAGUGCGGUAGGGGAGACUGGAAUUCCUGGUGUAGCGGUGGAAUGCGCAGAUAUCAGGAGGAACACCGAUGGCGAAGGCAGGUCUCUGGGCCGCAACUGACGCUGAGGAGCGAAAGCAUGGGGAGCUUUACUGGAUUAGAUACCCUGGUAGUCCAUGCCGUAAACGUUGGGCACUAGGUGUGGGGCUCAUUCCACGAGUUCCGUGCCGCAGCUAACGCAUUAAGUGCCC